AACGAACUCUUGAUAUCAUUUCUAUCAAGAUCAGUUACCAGGUUAAUUAUUGUUUAUUAACAGUACCAUAUUUCCUGCGUAUCUGUAACACACUGAAAUCCAGAAAGCUUGAAGAUUUUCAAUAAUCACCUGAAAAUUAGCGCCCUUAAUGGCCUGUGUAAAAUGCGCAAACAACCACGAGGCAGAAAACAUUGUAUACAUUGAAAUUUAUUUCAAUGUAUACAAUACAUAUACAAUGAACUACUGCACGAUAAAUUCACCAGCGCUGAAAAGGCAGAAAAAGCGCAAUAACAUUUCCGCGGUUAGACUUUUCCGGGAAAUGAAAUGAUCAUACAUUCUUAAAUUAUCCGAUUAUCUUUUUCCUGCCUCGUUUCAUGUCAUGAUUUUUCAUACCGCCGCCUUCGUUCGGAAAUCACCUCGCUAUAUAGUGAAUAAGUUUGUAUGCUGGAUUUAGCAGUUAUGUCAUAAAAAUAAUUGCAAAAUAAACCCUGGUAUAUAGGACGAUUCUAUAUUUUGCCAUAAUUUUUUUUAGAGAAACAUUAUUGCAAAAAGUUAACAUUCUCUUUAGAAGAAGUUAACUGCAAAAUUCGCAUAUACGUGUACACCCGUAUCCAGUCUCUGGCUGUGAUGGGCUACCUGUGUCUUGCCACCUGCCCUGUGAGUACAAUCACGCGCGUAAAAUAAACAUUCAUCAAUCCUUUUCAAAAACAGACGCAUUUUCGCAGCUCGACCUCUCAGACAAGAGCAGCUUUUUCUUGUUCUCCGAAAAGUUCUCUUUUCUUCUUGCCAACUGAAAGGCCUAAGCAGGGGGAUUCUGGGAUUAUGAUUGUUCUUAUAGCGUGUACCGGGACGCUUCUUAUAGCAAUCUCAGUACUCGCCACCAGUCUCCCACUUAGCAAGCUUCUGACGGGCGCGGCUGGCACCUUCCAAGUCUCUGUUUGCUGUUAAGUUGAAUAUAUAGAGCCAAUGGACGAAAAGCAUGUAGCAGACGCACUUGUUUGAAGGGGACAGAAAGUUUGACAACACUUCGCAUAUCAACAUGUUGCAGUUGCCAGCUCUUGUAAAAUAAAGAGAUUCCGUAAAAUAGUGUUAUACUUCUAAAACUUUGCAAAGUUGAUGUGAAAAUGUUCAAAUGAACACAGAUAGAUAAUAAAAAUGUCAGCUGGUUA